AGCCGUUGAAACUGGCGUUCUUGAGUGGGCGAGAAGUAUGCGGAAUGCGUGGUGUAGCGGUGAAAUGCAUAGAUAUCACGCAGAACUCCGAUUGCGAAGGCAGCAUACCGGCGCCCUACUGACGCUGAGGCACGAAAGCGUGGGUAUCGAACAGGAUUAGAUACCCUGGUAGUCCACGCAGUAAACGAUGAAUGCUAACUGUCCGGUGCGAGUGAGCGCUGGGCGGUACAGCGAAAGCGUUAAGCAUUCCACCUGGGGAGUACGCCGGCAACGGUGAAACUCAAAGGAAUUGACGGGGGCCCGCACAAGCGGAGGAACAUGUGGUUUAAUUCGAUGAUACGCGAGGAACCUUACCCGGGCUCAAACGCAGGCUGACGGGUCCCGAAAGGGGCCUUUCUUCGGACAUUCUGCGAGGUGCUGCAUGGUUGUCGUCAGCUCGUGCCGUGAGGUGUCGGCUUAAGUGCCAUAACGAGCGCAACCCCUGUCCACAGUUGCCAGCAGGUAAAGCUGGGGACUCUGUGGAGACUGCCGGCGCAAGCUGCGAGGAAGGCGGGGAUGACGUCAAAUCAGCACGGCCCUUACGUCCGGGGCGACACACGUGUUACAAUGGCAGGUACAGCGGGAUGCCACGGGGCGACCCGGCGCUGAACCCGAAAACCUGUCUCAGUUCGGAUUGGAGUCUGCAACCCGACUCCAUGAAGCUGGAUUCGCUAGUAAUCGCGCAUCAGCCACGGCGCGGUGAAUACGUUCCCGGGCCUUGUACACACCGCCCGUCAAGCCAUGGAAGCCGGGGGUACCUGAAGUGCGUGACCGCGAGGAGCGCCCUAGGGUAAAACCGGUGACUGGGGCUAAGUCGUAACAAGGUAACCGUAA
rnacentral:rRNA from 1 species